rnacentral:tRNA from 1 species
CCCGCCGUAGCUCAGCGGCAGAGCGCCCGGCUGUAGACCGGGUGGUCCGGGUUCGAAUCCCCGCGGCGGGACCA